CGGACAUAUGACGUUGAAACAUUGGUUCCCGUACGAUCAUCGAAGUUAAGCAACGUCGUGCCUGGUCAGUACCUAGAUGGGUGAUCACUUAGGAAUAUCAGGUACUGUAAG